CCUACGGGAGGCAGCAGUGGGGAAUUUUGGACAAUGGGCGAAAGCCUGAUCCAGCAAUGCCGCGUGAGUGAAGAAGGCCUUCGGGUUGUAAAGCUCUUUUGUCAGGGAAGAAACGGUGAAGGCUAGUAUCNUUUGCUAAUUNCNGUACCUGAANAAUAAGCACCGGCUAACUACGUGCCAGCAGCCGCGGUAAU
rnacentral:rRNA from 1 species